GGAUUGAUGCUGGAGUUUCCUCAUCCACCCAAGCAACACUGAAGCUUCUAUAGCUUUAAACAGACACUACAGGCACCCAGACCACUUCAUCUUAUUGAAGUGGUCUGGGUGCAGGACCAAGGACUAAGAAAGCCACUAGAGGCACUUCCGGGAAUUUACCAGACUCUGGUUUGCCUUAAUGACGCUGGACGUACUCAUGCUCUGAUGUGUUAUUAGGUCCCCCUUUCAGAUUAUGUCCGAAGAGGCAGAGCACCAACCCAGCACCAAGUGGACAUCAGUGCUGGAAUCGGGUGAGUAAAUAAAGUUUGUUUUUUUUACUUUUUAUGUUCACAGGGGGAGGAGCCGGGCACAAUGGACGGGGGGACUAGCGGGCACUGUAGUGUUAGGAUUACAGAUUUGUAUUUCAAACAUUAUAGAAUCCCUUUAAAUUAUUCAAAAUGAUAUCACACUGAAUGUAAGGUUGGUAACAGGAAACUUUAGGCACUCUAACCUCCUCGAUGACAUGAAUCAUUUACAGUG